CAAGGUCUCCGUUGGUGAACCAGCGGAGGGAUCAUUAUAGAGUUUUCUAAACUCCCAACCCUAUGUGAACUUACCAUUGUUGCCUCGGCGGGGCCUACCCGGUACCGACCCCUUUUGGGCGAGGUUACCCUGUAGCCCGCCGGUGGACUACUUAACUCUUGUUAUUUUAACGAUAUCUGAGCGUCUUAUUUUAAUAAGUCAAAACUUUCAACAACGGAUCUCUUGGUUCUGGCAUCGAUGAAGAACGCAGCGAAAUGCGAUAAGUAAUGUGAAUUGCAGAAUUCAGUGAAUCAUCGAAUCUUUGAACGCACAUUGCGCCCAUUAGUAUUCUAGUGGGCAUGCCUGUUCGAGCGUCAUUUCAACCCUUAAGCCUAGCUUAGUGUUGGGAAUCUACUGUAUUGUAGUUCCCCAAAUUGAACGGCGGAUUCGCAGUAUCCUCUGAGCGUAGUAAAUCUUUAUCUCGCUUUUGUCAGGUGCUGUGGCUCUUGCCGCUAAACCCCCAAUUUUUAAUGGUUGACCUCGGAUCAGGUAGGAAUACCCGCUGAACUUAAGCA
rnacentral:rRNA from 1 species